rnacentral:rRNA from 1 species
GCGCAGCAGGCGAGAAUCCUCCGCAAUGCGGGAAACCGUGACGGGGUCACCCCGAGUGCCACCCGAUGAGGGUGGCUUUUCCCCGGUCUAAAAAGCCGGGGGCAAUAAGCGGGGGGCAAGUCUGGUGUCAGCCGCCGCGGUAAUACCAGCCCCGCGAGUGGUCGGGACGUUUAUUGGGCCUAAAGCGUCCGUAGCCGGCUCGGUAAGUCCCUCUUAAAUCCACGGGCUCAACCCGUGGGCUGGGAGGGAUACUGCCGGGCUAGGGGGGCGGAGAGGCCGAGGGUACUCCCGGGGGUAGGGGCGAAAUCCGUUAAUCCCGGGAGGACCACCAGUGGCGAAGGCGCUCGGCUGGAACGCGCCCGACGGUGAGGGACGAAAGCUGGGGGAGC